rnacentral:rRNA from 1 species
GGAGUAACUACUGGAAACGGUAGCUAAUACCGCAUAACGUCGCAAGACCAAAGUGGGGGACCUUCGGGCCUCAUGCCAUCAGAUGUGCCCAGAUGGGAUUAGCUAGUAGGUGGGGUAAUGGCUCACCUAGGCGACGAUCCCUAGCUGGUCUGAGAGGAUGACCAGCCACACUGGAACUGAGACACGGUCCAG